AGUUACCAGCACGUUAUGUGGGCACUCUAAGGAGACUGCCGGUGACAAACCGGAGGGAAGGUGGGGAUGACGUCAAGUCAUCAUGGCCCUUACGGCCUGGGCUACACACGUGCUACAAUGGUCGGUACAAAGGGUUGCCAAGCCGCGAGGUGGAGCUAAUCCCAUAAAACCGAUCGUAGUCCGGAUCGCAGUCUGCAACUCGACUGCGUGAAGUCGGAAUCGCUAGUAAUCGUGAAUCAGAAUGUCACGGUGAAUACGUUCCCGGGCCUU
rnacentral:rRNA from 1 species